ensembl:lncRNA
CUUGAGUAUUAAAGUAUCUGUGCGGGAAUUCUUGCUUAUACCCGAUAGUCUUAAAUCAGACUCUUCUGUGAAUAGACUCAAACUAAUUACUCUGUGUAAUGUCUACUGUAGAAUGGUGCAUUGUUUGUAAUGUUCAGUGAACAAUGCUAGAUAGAGUCAUCAGUCUUUCCUGGCAAGACAAGGUAUAUGCUACAAAUAUAUCUUAAAUGGUCCCUACAAAGAAGAAGCAGCUCAGAUGUCUCUAUUCAUCUGCAGUCCCUUCGCCUUCCCAACUUGGUCCUCUUCCUCUGUUGUUUUGUUCAGCAUCAAGACCUUGGUCUCACAGUAACAUUUGCAAGCUUUUCUUCCCUCCAGAAAGGAUCUGCUUCAUAAAAAGAAUCUCCCACAUGGAGCUGCGAUCCAUCCCUUCUCAGGAACUCCCAUUGCUCUCUCUCUGCCUUAUUUUCUCUGAGAUAGGGCCGGAGUGAGCAGAUUCAAUGCUGGGAUUACAGGCAUGCACCACCAUGAAAACUAGUUCCCACGGCUUUUGGAAGAAGGUCCUUGAGUGCAAUGUGUGUACUUAUUAGCGGAAAAUGUCGCGAAAAAUCACCGGAGAAGGAGC